ACACCUCACAGCUCUGGAGGAAGCCGCAGACCUCAGCUGUACAAGCGCAGCCUGGACUAGGGGAACUUUCCCUGGAACUCGGGAAGAUCAGCCUCCCGGAGUCGACCUGUCUGCAGGGCGGAGCGCGGGGCAAGCGCGGGUGGCAGGGAGUCGGUGCACAGGGGACUCAGGUCAAGGCUGGUCGGCGGCGGGUCCUGCGAGCCUCAGAAAUCAGUGCCGGUGCACGCUCCCGCCGUCCCGGGGCAGCCGCAUCCCCGGCGCCGCUGGCAGCAUCGCCGCCUCCCGCCGGCUACGGAACAUGGCUGCGCGCCUCGCCACUGUCGCCUGCGCGCUGUUCCUGCUGUCCUCCGCCCUGCUCCGCCUCGGCUGCCGGGCGCGCUUCGCCGCCGAGCCCGACUCGGAUGAGGACGGAGAGGAAACGGUGGCGUUCCCCGAGUCGCCCCCGCAGAAACCCACGGUGUUCGUGGUCGUUCUCGCCCGCAACGCUGCGCAUACGCUGCCUUACUUCCUCGGCUGCCUGGAACGGCUGGACUACCCCAAGAGCAGGAUGGCUAUCUGGGCAGCCACUGAUCACAAUGUGGACAAUACAACGGAAAUACUCAGGGAGUGGCUGAAAAGUGUGCAGCGUUUGUAUCACUAUGUGGAGUGGAGGCCUAUGAACGAGCCAGAGUCUUACCCUGAUGAAAUCGGACCAAAGCACUGGCCAAACUCCCGGUUUUCUCACGUCAUGAAACUGCGACAAGCAGCCCUUCGAACUGCGAGGGAAAAAUGGUCAGAUUACAUCCUGUUCAUAGAUGUCGACAACUUCCUGACUAAUCCACAGACCCUGAACCUAAUGAUUGUAGAAAACAAGACCAUCGUGGCGCCCAUGCUGGAGUCCCGGGGUCUAUACUCUAACUUCUGGUGCGGAAUUACGCCUCAGGGCUUCUACAAGCGGACCCCAGACUACCUUCAGAUUAGAGAAUGGAAAAGGAUGGGCUGCUUCCCCGUCCCCAUGGUCCACUCCACCUUCCUGAUUGACCUCAGGAAAGAGGCCUCUGACAAGCUGGCUUUCUACCCCCCACACCAGGACUACACCUGGACCUUUGAUGACAUCAUCGUUUUUGCCUUCUCCAGCAGGCAAGCAGGCAUCCAGAUGUACCUGUGCAACAAGGAACACUAUGGCUACCUGCCCAUCCCUCUGAAGCCCCACCAGACACUGCAGGAGGACGUCGAGAACCUCAUCCAUGUACAGAUAGAAGCAAUGAUUGACCAUCCUCCAAUGGAGCCUUCCCAGUUCGUGUCAGUUGUCCCUAAGUAUCCAGACAAGAUGGGAUUUGAUGAGAUUUUCAUGAUCAACCUCAAACGCAGGAAGGACAGGCGGGACAGGAUGCUGCGCACACUCUACGAACAGGAGAUCGAGGUCAAGAUUGUCGAGGCCGUGGAUGGGAAGGCACUCAACACAAGCCAGCUGAAGGCCUGGAACAUUGAGAUGCUGCCAGGGUACCGGGACCCCUACUCCUCCAGGCCUUUAACCAGGGGUGAAAUUGGUUGCUUCCUUAGUCACUUCUCUGUCUGGAAAGAGGUUAUUGACCGAGAGCUGGAGAAGACUCUGGUCAUCGAGGAUGAUGUGCGCUUUGAGCAUCAGUUUAAGAGGAAGCUGAUGAAGCUGAUGGAGGACAUUGACAAGGCUCAGCUGGACUGGGAACUAAUAUAUCCCCAGAAAUAAGAAGGGAAAGGUUGGGUGGCUGUUUCUCCCUCCGUCUACAAGACUGGAGUCACCCACCUGAUCAGCGGCCUCUUGACAGAGCUGAGGAAACAUCCUGAGGACCACUGGGGACAAUGGUGGAAAUUUCACCUGCAAAUUACAUCGGUCGAAAAAGAAUGCAAGUCAAAGAGCCAGAGAAGGCAGUGCCCAAUGUUGUAAAUCUCGUCGAAGCUGAUUAUUCCUACUGGACCCUGGGCUACGCCAUUUCCCUGGAAGGAGCACAGAAGCUUGUCGGAGCCGAUCCCUUUGGGAAGAUGUUGCCAGUGGAUGAGUUUCUGCCAAUCAUGUACAACAAGCAUCCUGUGGCUGAGUACAAGGAGUAUUAUGAGUCCAGGGACUUGAAAGCCUUCUCCGCAGAGCCUCUGCUCAUCUACCCUACGCACUACACAGGCCAGCCAGGCUAUCUGAGCGACACAGAAACGUCAACCAUCUGGGACAAUGAGACAGUGGCCACUGACUGGGACAGGACACACUCCUGGAAAUCCCGGAAGCAAGGACACAUCCGCAGCACCGCCAAGAACACGGAAGCACUUCCACCGCCAACUUCCCUGGACACUGUGCCUUCAAGAGACGAACUCUGAAAGCUUCCUGGGUGUGUGGUCUGCAAGGUUCAUCACUGUCUGGAUUUUCUAAAGGGCUACUCAUCUGUUUGCUCCAGUUUGGGGUUUUGUUUUGUAGAGAUGGCAGUCAUCUAAUCAAGUGGUUUGAUGUGACUCAUCAAAAUUAUAUCAUUUGUAUAGUGAAGAACAGAGAAAUUAAAAACCAAAUUCCCUAGGAAGCCAUUACUGGAAUAUCUAGGUUAAACUUCAGUCCAAAUGCCCAGUUCUGCUCACUAGCUAGAGAAUGCGGUUAGCCACACUGGUGUGGCAACAUGGCUCAUAUUCUCAUCCAAGAAAUGGCACCCCAAGCUGUCACAUCAGUAAGUGAGCAGUCAACACAGACAAGCCAGUGGACCUUGUUUACUAAUCUAAGUGGUCCAUUUUAUGUGGCAGAUGUGACCCUGAAAUCAUCAAGCCAUCUAGACUACAUUUAUUCAUCUAAUUGAUGUGACCUUGAAAACUGUACUAUGUAACAAGUGUCUGGGAAUGGGGAAACCAAACCAUUAAUUGGGCUUUUAUUCAAAGGAGCUCUGUCAUGAGUUUGUUGCAAAGUGGAUGUUUUCUUCUUGGCUUUAUUAUCCCAUGGAGUGAGAGCUGGAGCGAUGGCUCAGUGGUUAUUAUCCAAUGGAGUACGUAACUGGCUUGGGUAGCGACAUGGGCUCUUGACCAUCAUGGCAGCUAGAGUGUUCAUCAAAAUGUCUAGGUGCCAUGUGGCUAUAAUAUUUAGAUAUUUAUGGGGGAAAGAUCUAAACCCUUGGCAUUUGUAUUGUGGCUUAAGUCCAAUAUGUCUAUUUAUAAAAAACUGUAAUAUAUACAGGUUGUGAGGGAUGGGGUGACCCAGAACCUCACACCUUAUAUGUCACCCCUUCGCCUGGGGAGGAACUGCAGGUGUGAGUGUAAUAAGUCACUGUUGAUGAGUUUAAUAAGUCACUGUUGAGGGUCAGAAUACAUUUCAGCCUCACACUUGUCCUCGUUUUGGAUUUUCAUUAUAUUCUGAAUUAUUUAUUUUACCAAAGUGGAAAAACCAUCGUCUGUAGGGUGAAGCAAGCAGAGGAACAGAUGUCUCAGACUCUCACUGCACACUGGGCAAUGUCAGUAUUGACACGUGAGUCUGCGCAUCUGAAUUGCCUGAAUUUCCCAGCUUGGCUUUUGCAGGGAAGACCGCUGGUGAGAAGCUAACCAGUUAGGAGUAACUUAUUCUCCAGUGGAUAUAUAAGACACUGGCCUAGACAAUAGAUUUAAGUCAACGAUCCACAGCUCUCAGAGCCAAAAAUCCUAAUUAGACACCUUUCUCCAAAAAAGUCCCCUAAAACUUUUUCCUAAUUCUUCAUAGGUAAUUUAAUGUCAGGUGCAAUGCUGGACUGUGUCACACACAGUGUCAGGAUUCCCAGCCAGCUGUUGAGAGUGCUUGUGGUGCUUCACCUCAGCCACCCUUCCUUCCUGGGUAUGAUUCAGGCUUCUUGACUGAAGCUGAGAAACCAGGCUUAUCCAGCCCCAGCUUGUGUCUUCUCAUCUAGAGAAAAAGAGAAGAGCAUUAAGGAGCUCAUGAGGAACCCUAAGUGGUUCCUAAGGUCUCCUUGGGUGUUCGGUAUUUUGUUUGUGAUUUGAAUGUGUGCAAGAAUGCCUGGCUUUAACUGUGUAUUUUAUAGGAGUGGGAGGUGGCUGGGGCACUGGAAGUGAAGGGAGACUGAGUUAUGUUUUGUGUUGUUGUUGUUUUUGUUGUUUUCGUUUCUGUUGCUGUCUUAAUGGGUAACUUUCUCCCGUUUGCCCUGUCAGCUGGUCUGACGGAUUUAAGAAUUUUCAUUCUUAAAAGACAUUGGAUUUCAAAGUUUGAAUUCUAGAUUAGGACCUUUUCUAACUGUGAAUAAAGUUCUGGUUCUGUUAGUCUAGCCCAGCCUGUGUUUCUGCCUGCUCAGAUUUGAGUCCCUUGUAAUAUUCUUGUGAACUAUUACGAACUGCGAAUCUAGCACUUUAAAAAGCCAUCUUUUUAGCAAUCCAGAUAGCUUGCCAAGCCUCCCUUCUGCUCUUCAACUUAGACACUGGCCAUUGCGGUGAGUGACACUUGAGGCCUUCGGUACAGAGCUCUGUCUCUGGCCCUGGAGCCCGCUCUUGGUGCCUGAGAGGCUGAAGCCCAUGCAGAUUCCUCUCAGGAUCCAAACUGUGAUCUUCUGAGGGAAAAGCCUGACCUUGAUAGUGUAAGCACUGCCCUGUGGGCUGCCCCCUGCAGUCUGCAGAAGACUCAUCCUUGGCAUCCCUUGGGCACUUGAAGGAGUGGGCAUCCACAUACCCUGGUCUGUCUUGCUGUACUGUUUCAGCAUAGGGAAGAGACCAGCUGCCUUCUGGAGCUCUCCAUAUAAAUAAAAGCAAAUGUUCUAAAUUCCUAAA